rnacentral:ncRNA from 1 species
UUUGGGUAUCUGUUAACUCAGGUUUAAAAGGGAACACGGGUGAGAUUCCCGGACAGUCCCGCUGCUGUAAUUCUCAGAUAUCGUUCCAGGAUGAGUGGCCGCACCCAAGGCUGCAACAAACGCCACUGACCGAACAGGUCGGGAAGGUUCCCGGAACUGCAAGAUAAGUCAGAAGACCUGCCCAAGAUUC